GUGGGGGGACGGGAGGUCUGUCCCAACUAUCAUUCUGACUCCGCCCCCCUGCUCUAUCUUCUGAUUGGGUUCCAUUACAGUUUCCCUACAGAACAAAAAUGGAAAAAUAUAACUGUCAAGCUAUAAUGGAUUGCAUGAGAUGUUUUGAACAUCUCAAAAUAUAUAUAUUUACACUGAUUGCCUGCAUUAUAGGCAUAGUGUUGGGGAGAAAUUGGUUGCGUCAAUCGGAGGCCCCUCCACCACCACCAGCCCCUCUGGGUCCUCCAGUACAGACAUGGCGCCGUUUAUGUGCCAGCAAGAUGUGAAGCCCACGAGGAAUUCAAUCCGAGGACUCAGUGGUUGGGAGUGACAGAGCAAAAUCCAGCUGCCAGUUUUCUUCCCUUGUUUGAAACAAAUAAAUAAAUCUUUGUGAACCGUUGGCAUUCAGUUAAGUAGCAA